rnacentral:rRNA from 1 species
GGCGGCAUGCCUAACACAUGCAAGUCGAACGGCAGCACAGUGUGUAGCAAUACACAUGGGUGGCGAGUGGCGGACGGGUGCGUAAUGUGUAGGGAUCUGCCCUGAAGCGGGGGACAACCCGGGGAAACUCGGGCUAAUACCGCAUAAUACUCUACGGAGGAAAUCCGGCUACGCAAGUGGCUGGGGCUUUANGAGGAACCUGCAUCCGAUUAACUNGUUGGUGAGGUAAUAGCUCACCAAGGCGAUGAUCGGUAACUGGUCUGAGAGGAUGACCAGUCACACUGGGACUGAGACACGGCCCAGACUCCUACAGGAGGCAACAGUGGGGAAUAUUGGACAAUGGGGGAAACCCUGAUCCAUCAAUGCCGCGUGGGUGAAAAAAGCCUUCGGGUUGUAAAGCCCUUUAUGCGGGGAAGAAGGUUUUAGGGUGAUAAGCCCUAAAAUUUGACAGUACCCGCA